rnacentral:rRNA from 1 species
GGGUGCGAUCAUACCAGCACUAACGCACCGGAUCCCAUCAGAACUCCGCAGUCAAGCGUGCUUGGGCGAGAGUAGUACUAGGAUGGGUGACCUCCCGGGAAGUCCUCGAGUUGUAUCCC